UACGUAGGGUGCAAGCGUUGUCCGGAAUUAUUGGGCGUAAAGAGCUCGUAGGCGGUGUGUCACGUCGGCCGUGAAAACCUGCAGCUUAACUGUGGGCGUGCGGUCGAUACGGGCAUCACUGGAGUUCGGCAGGGGAGACUGGAAUUCCUGGUGUAGCGGUGAAAUGCGCAGAUAUCAGGAGGAACACCGGUGGCGAAGGCGGGUCUCUGGGCCGAUACUGACGCUGAGGCACGAAGGCGUGGGGAGCGAACGGG
rnacentral:rRNA from 1 species